GCAUUGGUCGUGCACGGCGCAUACACCGAUCCAAUGAAACAGUUGCAAUUCAAAGUAUCGGUGAGCUGGGGUUCGACUCCCCGCCGGUGCG